rnacentral:rRNA from 1 species
UGCGCAGGCGGUUACUUAAGUCAGGUGUGAAAGCCCUGGGCUUAACCUAGGAAUUGCGCUUGAGACUGGGUAGCUUUGAGUGUGGCAGAGGGAGGUGGAAUUCCACGUGUAGCAGUGAAAUGCGUAGAGAUGUGGAGGAACACCGAUGGCGAAGGCAGCCUCCUGGGCCAGCACUGACGCUCAUGCACGAAAGCGUGGGGAGCAAACAGGAUUAGAUACCCUGGUAGUCCACGCCCUAAACGAUGUCAACUGGUUGUUGGUGGGGUUAAACCCAUUAGUAACGAAGCUAACGCGUGAAGUUGACCGCCUGGGGAGUACGGCCGCAAGGUUAAA